GCUCCUACAUCAAAGAAGGAGGACAAAAUCUAUGUAUAAAAGGGUGUCUACAUGCUGGCUGUAGAUGUUACACAACCAAGCAGGGAGCAGAGGCAAGGAAAGAGCUGUGCAAUCUUGACUACGUGGGAACUGGGAGCAGGAGGCUUCCCAAGGUCAUGCUUCAACAUGAGACUUGAAAAUCUUACAUGACAGCAAACAGUGAGACAAUCUGCUACUUCAUGGAUCAUAAAGUAUUAUCUACUGCAGGAAUUGGAAAUUACUUGUUUUAUACCAUUGUUGUGGUUUUAUUUUGCAUCAGUCUCUACAAGUUGUUGCUGCAUAAUUGUUGAGAACCAUU